rnacentral:rRNA from 1 species
GUGGGGAAUUUUGCGCAAUGGGCGAAAGCCUGACGCAGCAACGCCGCGUGAGUGAUGAAGGCUUUCGGGUCGUAAAGCUCUGUCGAGGGGAAAGAAGUGUAUUGGAGCUAAUAUCUCCGAUACUUGACGGUACCCCUAAAGGAAGCACCGGCUAACUCCGUGCCAGCAGCCGCGGUAAUACGGGGGGUGCAAGCGUUGUUCGGAAUUAUUGGGCGUAAAGCGCGUGUAGGCGGUCUGAUUAGUCUGAUGUGAAAGCCCUGGGCUCAACCCAGGAAGUGCAUUGGAUACUGUCAGACUUGAAUACGGGAGAGGGUAGUGGAAUUCCUAGUGUAGGAGUGAAAUCCGUAGAUAUUAGGAGGAACACCGGUGGCGAAGGCGGCUACCUGGACCGAUAUUGACGCUGAGACGCGAAAGCGUGGGUAGCAAACAGGAUUAGAUACCCUUGUAGUCC